AUUUUUUUUAGCUUAUAAUUUUGGUCCUAUGCACCUAGGUUAAUUUUUUUUUCUGAUCAGUCCUAUUUUUAUUCAACUAUGGAUUUUUAAAAUAUCUGUAAAAUUGCAAUGGAGAUUCACCUGUGAAAAGCUACAAGUCCUUUACUUUUAUGUGUGUGAACUCUGUGUAUUGUGUUGCCUGUCCAUAAGGGUGCGUGUCAAUAUGUCGUGAACAUGAUAUCAAGAUUGACCAAUGGAAAAUAAAUGCUCAUAAAUUAAAAUUGGAUCCAAAUACCUUUAAUUCACGUGAUAAAAAAGGUUCAAUUUAAAUUGGGUAAACAGAUGAAAGUAAAGAAGUCUUUAAAAUUAAACGUAACUCACAAGUCAACUGGUCAAAGAACUAAAAAUGUUGAUGUCUAUAAAAUGUCUAAUAUCCAUUGUUUCUAGGACUUUUCUUCAAUAGGGAAGAAAUGACUAAUACUGUUCAAUACAUUUAUUUGAUAUCUUGGUAAAAAUAAGUAAAGUAGAUUUGAUAUGGAAUUACUCAUAAAUGUAUUUAUUAGACAUCUGAUUAAUUUACAAGGUUAAAUGCUAACUGUUAAAUAUACAAUCAAGUUCUCUAACUUCUUGAAUUCCAUUGGGUAACAUUAUUGAUGUUUUCAUAAAUUGGUAAAUAAAAAAAGGGGUUUAAAGUUGCUUUGUUAUCACUGAAAACAAGGUUACUGAAAUUUAAAGUCCCAACAGGCAUAAUUCUAUAUACUUCAACAUUAUUUAUAUUUUCA
rnacentral:lncRNA from 1 species